rnacentral:ncRNA from 1 species
AAUAGUGCGAUGAAAAGGAAGAGUAUUAUAAAAAUACAGUUUACAGAGAGGAAAUGAAUCAGCUGAGAUCAUUUCUAAAUAUGAUUUAUAAGAAGACUACCCUUGAGCUAUGGUUUAGUAUCGUAAGAGAAAUGCCAUCGGUAAUGCCGUUAUUAAGAAAUAAGAUAAAUUAAAUUUUAAUUUAAUUUGGGUGGAACCACGGAUAUAAGCAUUCGUCCCAUUU